UUUUCUCUCUCUUGCAAAAGCAGUGGUCGAGUGCCCUGCUUCAAUCAACGAGUAUAACAUCUGAAUUUAUCAAGAUCAUCCUGAACAAAAUUUCAACAUAAGAAAUGUCAGGAAACUGGAGCAAUAGUCGCGGCGGAAGCGGCGGUUCCAAAUUUGGAAGUCAUGGAUCAAAGUUUGGUGGUGGCGGCGGCGGCGGUGGUAGCCGCUUUGGAAACUCUGGUGGUUAUGGAGGAGGGAAGAAAGAAUUUUCUGGUGGACAAAACAUGCGACGCCCAAACUGGGAUACUAUGUCUUUACAACCAUUUAAUAAAAACUUCUACAACCCACCACCAGAAGUAUUGAAUAGAUCAGCAUAUGAAGUUGAAGAAUAUAGAAACAAACAUGAGAUUACUGUGAGUGGAUUGGAUAUACCUAAUCCUAUCCAGCACUUUGUAGAAGGAAACUUCCCAGACUAUGUAAUGCAAAAUAUUUCCAACAUGGGAUACAAGGAACCCACACCCAUUCAAGCUCAAGGUUGGCCCAUUGCCAUGUCAGGGCACAACUUGGUUGGGAUAGCUCAGACUGGUUCUGGCAAAACCUUAGCUUAUAUAUUGCCUGCUAUUGUGCACAUCAACAACCAGCCCCCUAUUAGGCGGGGAGAUGGCCCAAUAGCUUUGGUGUUGGCUCCAACAAGAGAACUGGCGCAACAAAUUCAACAAGUUGCAUGUGACUUUGGAAAUGCUUCAUAUGUGCGCAACACGUGCGUAUUUGGUGGCGCGCCUAAAAGGGAACAGGCUCGUGAUUUAGAAAGAGGAGUAGAAAUUGUAAUUGCCACACCUGGCAGACUAAUUGAUUUCUUGGAAAAAGGAACUACAAAUUUACAACGUUGUACAUAUCUUGUACUAGAUGAAGCUGAUCGUAUGUUGGACAUGGGUUUUGAACCCCAGAUUCGUAAAAUCAUUGAGCAGAUCCGACCUGACCGUCAAACUCUGAUGUGGUCUGCCACAUGGCCCAAAGAGGUUAAAAAGUUAGCCGAAGACUAUUUAGGUGACUACUUGCAAAUAAACAUUGGAUCUCUUCAAUUAUCUGCUAACCACAAUAUUCUACAAAUUGUAGAUGUUUGCCAAGAACAUGAGAAGGAGAACAAGUUAAAUGUUCUGCUUCAAGAAAUAGGCCAGAGCCAAGAACCUGGUGCGAAAACAAUUAUAUUUGUUGAAACAAAGAGAAAAGUAGAAAAUAUAACAAGAAAUAUCAGACGAUUUGGCUGGCCAGCGGUCUGCAUGCAUGGAGACAAAACACAGCAAGAGAGGGACGAUGUGCUCUAUCAGUUCAAACAGGGUCGCGCCAGCAUACUGGUAGCUACUGAUGUUGCCGCCAGAGGACUUGAGGCACUGGCGGAAAGUUAUUGUGUUCUAUCUGAGUACUCUCCCAAAUUAGUGGAUAUGUCACUGCUGAUUUGUAGAUGACUUAGUGUGCAGUGGUUUAACUAGAGAAUGCAAUAACUCGUCAUGUUAUGGUGCCUCAAAAGUGCCUUUCACUAUGAUGGACCCACGGCCGGAAGCUUGAUAGUAUGUCCGUGAAUACGGAUACACUUGAGAGUAUUGGAAAACCUGGUGAUGCACUACAUACUUUAUAGAUAGUUAAAUAAUCAAAGAUUGAACUACUGGUGCAUCGUUGAAAAACUUGACCACAGGUUGAGAUGAUCGGCAAGAGGUCAAGGGUUUUCUAUUUCGGCCACAAUGGAGAUUGGAAUGGGCAAUCAAGUAUAUGUGAAAACAAAUUGAUUAUAACGCCCUUACAAGACUCCAGGGUUUACUCAGUGAGAGGCAAAUGUUUUUAUUUGUUGUGUAACUCAUUCAUAUGUGGAUGGUAUCAAAUAUGUUAUAAACUUUGAUUAUCCCAACUCUUCGGAAGAUUACAUUCACCGGAUAGGCAGAACAGGACGGUCAAAAUCAAAAGGAACAUCAUAUGCCUUCUUCACACCUUCAAAUUCGCGUCAAGCUAAAGACCUUGUCAAUGUGCUGCAAGAAGCAAAUCAGACUAUCAGCCCACAACUGCAGACAAUGGCUGACCGCUGCGGCGGCGGCGGCGGCGGCGGCUGGAACAGAAGCCGGUACGGCGGAGGGCGCGGGGGCGGUGGCGGCGGCUCCUUCAGACGUGGAACUAAUUUCGGCAGGAGCAACGGCACAGGAGGCGGUGGACACAAGCGAUUUAAUGAAUACUAACUUAUCUCUAAUAUUAAGUAGCAAAUCCUCUUAGGACUAUGAAUGAAUACACCGUGUAAAUGUUCAAGAUUGUAGAUCAUGACCCCCUCCCGUAGUUGAACCAUUAUUGUAUUCCAUAGAUGUCUACAUUUGAUUACUUUCGCAUUUACAUUGUACCGACUAGGAUUAACAAUACAUUGAGUAAAUGAACAUGUGUGUUUGACAUUAAGUUAUUUUUAGGCGGUAUUAUUUUUUCUGUGAUAUCUUAAAAUGAGGAUAAACUUGUGUCGCUGUCUCUUCAUGCCCCAACCUUCAAUUUGUAACUAUUGAAGUGCGCCGGUCCCCAUUGUUUGGGAGAAGUACCAAAUAUAAUAACAUCAUUCCACUUUGUUCUUUGAUCUGGUGAAAAUUAAUAUAAUAAUAAAUAAUGAUACUAUAC